GUGCCAGCAGCCGCGGUAAUACGUAGGUGGCAAGCGUUAUCCGGAAUUAUUGGGCGUAAAGCGCGCGUAGGCGGUUUUUUAAGUCUGAUGUGAAAGCCCACGGCUCAACCGUGGAGGGUCAUUGGAAACUGGAAAACUUGAGUGCAGAAGAGGAAAGUGGAAUUCCAUGUGUAGCGGUGAAAUGCGCAGAGAUAUGGAGGAACACCAGUGGCGAAGGCGACUUUCUGGUCUGUAACUGACGCUGAUGUGCGUAAGCGUGGGGAUCAAACAGGA
rnacentral:rRNA from 1 species